UCCUCAGUAGCUCAGUUGGUCAGAGCACCUGACUGUUAAUCAGGGGGUCGUUGGUUCAAGCCCAACCUGGGGAG
rnacentral:tRNA from 1 species